AGCGUCUCGACGCCCCUUGGGGAGUGCGAAGGGUGCAGCGUCCUUAGAAGCCAGCUUUGAGAAAGGCACCGGACCUCCCAGGACCUCAGGAGGCGCCUCAGAGAAACCCGGCCGCACCGUCGGCGCGUGUCUCCGACAUCUAUUUACAAGGAGCCUCUAGACCCUCUUUGGGAAGAGGAGUCAUAGGAGCAAUAUCAUGGCUGGAUCUGUGUUUUAGGAUUAUCUCCCUGGCUCCUCUGUGGGGUGGAUGCAGAAGGGCCCCAGUGAGGAAUCACAAGUCAAACAGUCCUCAUUAUACAGAAGAGGUGACCGGGACUCAGAGGAC